AAAAUAAAAUAAAAUUAAAAAAAACAAAAACAAAAACAAAAGCCAGGCCUGGGCCACAAGAAGUUCGCAGCUGGUGGAAAAGUACACUAGUUAAAUGUGCUGCUGGGUAUUCUGAGUGGUUGCUUUGUACAUGGGAGGAAGGUCUAACCCACCCUAUAGAUUGUGCUGGGAACAGUCUGGGAAGGCUUCCUGGAGGAGGCAAUGCUAGAGUCAAAUCUGACGUCUCUGAUUCAAACACACUUGAAUGUGUCUGAAAGGCUUCACACACACAACCACACAACUAUUACUGCUUUUUCUAUGCUUUUUUGACCCAGCAGGCUGAUCCUCCUAAUUUACUUAUAAACAGAGCUCCAGGGGCCAUUGGUAAAGACAGCAGGGUAGGCUCUCCUGAAACUCAGCUCCCCCUGUUUUAUUGGCCAGCCCAUUUAUUUUAUCAUGUCUCAUCUUAGGUUCCAGCAGGUCUGGAGCAAAAGGUAGCUUCACAUGAGCAUCCAUGGGAGGACAGAGGUGGGCAGCAGUGGCCUCACCUCUAGAGAGCCUGGGCCCUGGGAGUGAACCAGGUCAUUCUUUCUUCCACUCAUACUUCUUCACCACAAGCUUGUUAUGACCUUUAUCCUUAUCUUUUAUUCCAAUAAUUGUUUCAGUGGAGAACAUUUUCUUCUCUUGGAAAACACAAGCCUUGAAACUGAAAAAAAUGAAAACGUGUGGACAAUUUUCAGUUGCUUUUCUAGGAGGAGUGGUCCUCACACGGAAGGGCUCAUGUCCUACACCCACCUAUCUGAGCAUUCUUUCUCUUUUUAUUCAGCAGGGAUAAGAAAAAUGAGAAACCUGGGAUUUCAGCCCAUUGCAAGAAAGAUGCAGAAAGUGCACAGCAGGAAUAGAGGGGUAGCCUGGAUGACUGGCCUUGCUUCCUGAGAGUCACGUGUGUGUGUGUGCUCAGUCAUGUCUGACUCUUCGUGACAUCGUAAACUGUAGCCUGCUGGCCUCUGUCCAUGGGAUUAUCCCACCAAGAAUACUGGAGAGGGUUUGCCAUUUCCUCCUCCAGGGAUCUUCCCGACCCAGGGAUGGAAUUUGUGUCUCCCGUGUCUCCUGCAUUGGCAGGCAGAUUUUUUACCUUUUGUGCCCCCUGAGAGUCACAGUAUCCCAGAUACGUUGAUCAUCUAUCACAGGUGCACAGGAACAUGGGCCUGCACAGAACUUCUACAAAGACAGGAUUGUGGGGCCAGGCUAAUAGCGGGAGUUCGGGGAGGGGGCUGGCUCUGAGGCUGUACUAUAUAUAUGAUGCAAAAAACAUCUGUUGUUUCCAUAUCAGAGAUGGAAUGCUGGAUAUUAAGAGGUAGGGCUUAAGACUGCUCCUUCAGAUUAGAAAAAAGAAAAGAUAAAGGGAGAGAGAAGACUGGAUGGGGGAGAGGGGGGAUAAUGAAUGGACGGAAGUAAAGUGAAAGUUACUUAGCCAUGUCUGACUCUUUGCAACUAAAUGGUAUAUACAGUCCAUGGGAUUCUCCAGGCCAGAAUACUGGAGUGGGUAGCCUUCCCCUUCUCCAGGGGAUCUACCCAACCCAGGGAUCAAACCGGGGUCUCCUGCAUUGUCGGCAGAUUCUUUACCAGCUGAGCUACCAGGGAAGCCCCGGACAGAAGCCGGGAAAGGAGAAAAUAAUCAGAAUUUCUAAAACCAGAUUCCAACAGAAAUUCUUGCCAUCAUUUGUUAAAGAUUUACCAUUAGGGCUAGAACUCUGAUUGGCAUUAUGGGGUGAUUAAAAACAUCUGCGUUUUAGAGGGAAGCAGGACUGAGUUUAAAUCCUGAUGCUGCUGCUUCUCAGCUGAGUGAGCAAGGAAAGCCCUCCUUUCCUCAUGAGUAAAAAAGUCUGUGAUAAUACCUGGUGAAGAGUCCCAAGCAACGUCGGCUGCAGGCGGAGGCUUGGAGAGACACGGUGGGGACUUCUUCUGCUUGUGGGACUAGGAAAUCUGACAGCCUGGCCUGAUGCUCCCUACUGCUCCCAGGGGAGAGGAGGGUCAGACGGAGGCCUGAGGUGAGAAGGACCAUCACCCUGACAGCACCUGAAAAGAUAUCUCUUAUGGGAGCAGAACCACCCAUGGUUGAGGACCACUGAUCUAGUCCAACAGCCUCGCCUCUUCAGAUGAGGAAGCCACCGCUGUGGAGAAUAUGAAGAAGGUGAACAGGAGUAAAAGACAGAAUAUCCAUUAUUUUCCCUUUUAUCUGGAUCCCAGGAUAUAUAAAAGGGUGAUUUCUCCUCUGAGUUACUGAAAUGAGUCUUGAUUGAGGGGAAUUUUAUGAAUAUGCAUGAACUGUCUUCAUUAUGCAAAAUUCAUCCCAGAGUCCAGAUAACGAACAUUAAUAAUAACAUGGACAGAAGCAUGAAGUAAAUAUGUUACAUGGACUCAGUGGCAAUAAACAGAAAUCACAUCAACUCCUGCGGCUCGGCUGCUCUCAGGGCCCCGGAGGUGGGGAGAAGCUGCCCAGCUCCUUCUCCAACUUAUCCAAGAGAGAAGCCCCUCCUUCCCCAGGGGAAGAGGAAGGAAGCAGACAACCAAAUGUGUAAUUUUACUCGAAAUACUUCCACCUGGAGCCUAUAGAUUAGGGAAUUAAGCACUUACCACUAACCAGCUCCAUAUUUUGGGAGUAGUUGAUUUCAUUUCUUGUGAUUCUGACCUAAAUUGUGUCUUUCAAAAACAAGUAAAUCAUAAUGUGUAUCUAACUCAAUCACCGAAAUAAGGGCUGCAUUCUCCCACAGUGAUAUAGACCAGUAACAGUUGCCUAGGAUGAAAAAAGAAUCUCCUGACUAGCUGGAGCUCUGCAAAAGCACCACGUUUGAGAAUGUUUUCUUCCUUCGUGAACCAUCAGUCCCAGGCCCACAGCAUCAGUAUCGGGAUUGAUAGAAAGAUUUCAGUAGUCAACAAUCAUUCUAAAUUAGCACAUUAUCACGAACUUCUCAACUGGCUUAACAUGUAAACACACUAACACCACAUCCUGACAUGCCAACUUACUUUUGGCAUGAUUUCUUCCAGCAAGCCAGCCUCAUUCACCAUGGCUUUACUAACAUAAAUAUUUCAGACACUCUUACUAAUCUUACUGAAAAUCAUAGUUUUUGAAAAACAGACUUCAAUUUAUAAGGCAACCCAUAUACUUCCUUCCUACUGUUUUGAUUAUCACUUGAAAGAUUUAUCUUAUUCUCCUUUUGUUUAAAUUUGGAAACUGGAAUUUUUAAAAACAACUAAUAAAGUACAUGUUCCAGACUUUAAAGUUUUAGCCUAAUAUUGACUCAUUAAAAAAAAAAAAACUAGCAGAUUUUCAUUUUUCAUGAAUAUUUGGCAAUAAAAAGACAUUUGCAGUUACAAAACAGGUCAAGGUCAUUUGUGGCUCUCAUUAAUCCUGUGCCUCUGUAAAAAAGGCUGAAAGCAUUGCCUACAUUUUGCAGGUGGAAAAAAGUAACAGGUUCCAUCUUGCUCUGGGUAUAACAGCAAAGCCUGUGGUAGAACCAGAAAUAGAAGCUGGAGGGAUUUGUGUUUCUUUUCUGAUGUAGAGCAAGACUCAUCUGAAGCAGUCUCAUUAAAAUUGUGCCACAGAAGAAUCAGGGUCUAGCUCUUCAC